rnacentral:rRNA from 1 species
UACGUAGGGGGCAAGCGUUGUCCGGAAUCAUUGGGCGUAAAGCGCGUGUAGGCGGCCCGGAAAGUCUGGUGUGAAAACUUGAGGCUCAACCUCAAGCUGUCACUGGAUACUAUCGGGCUUGAGUCCGGAAGAGGAGAAUGGAAUUCCUGGUGUAGCGGUGGAAUGCGCAGAUAUCAGGAGGAACACCAAUGGCGAAGGCAGUUCUCUGGUACGUGACUGACGCUGAGACGCGAAAGCGUGGGGAGCAAACAGG